GGCUUGGUAGUGUAACGGUAUCACACCGUGUAAUCUUGGGCUCCAGAUACGUGAACACCCUUGCAGAGGUUCCCUGUUCAAUCCGGGGCCAAGCCG